GAUGUUUGGCUACUGACUCAGACUGGAUG
rnacentral:piRNA from 1 species